UGCGUAGGCGGCCCGGGAAGUUGGGUGUGAAAUCCCUCGGCUCAACCGAGGAACUGCGCCCAAAACUGCCGGGCUCGAGGGAGAUAGAGGUGAGCGGAACUUAGGGUGGAGCGGUGAAAUGCGUUGAUAUCCUAAGGAACACCAGUAGCGAAAGCGGCUCACUGGGUCUCUUCUGACGCUGAGGCACGAAAGCUAGGGGAGCGAACGGGAUUAGAUACCCCGGUAGUCCUAGCCGUAAACGAUGAGCACUGGGUUGGAGGGUCCUCCAUAGCCUUCUAGCCGUAGCGAAAGUGUUAAGUGCUCCGCCUGGGGAGUAUGGUCGCAAGGCCGAA
rnacentral:rRNA from 1 species